GACGAACGCUGGAGGCGUGCUUAACACAUGCAAGUCGAACGAUGAAAUGGAGCUUGCUCCAUGGAUUAGUGGCGAACGGGUGAGUAACACGUGAAUAACCUGCCCUUAAUUUUGGAAUAACCCAGGGAAACCUGGGCUAAUACCGGAUAAGUAAACCUGUGGCAUCACAUGGUUUUGGAAAGUUUUUCGAUUAAGGAUGGAUUCGCGGCCUAUCAGCUUGUUGGUGAGGCAAUAGCUCACCAAGGCGACGACGGGUAGCCGGCCUGAGAGGGUGAACGGCCACACUGGGACUGAGACACGGCCCAGACUCCUACGGGAGGCAGCAGUGGGGAAUAUUGCGCAAUGGACGAAAGUCUGACGCAGCGACGCCUCGUGAGGGACGAAGGUCUUCGGAUUGUAAACCUCUUUCAGCAGGGACGAAGCGAAAGUGACGGUACCUGCAGAAGAAGCACCGGCUAACUAUGUGCCAGCCGCCGCGGUAA
rnacentral:rRNA from 1 species